CACACACACAAACAAACACACACACUCGCUGGCUCUGCCUAUGGCUAAGGCUUUCUCCAGGCAUCCGCUCCUCUAUAUAAGCCUGACUGGCUCCAGGGCUCCACACUCACCUCUCAGAGCAGAGCUACGGUGCGACACAUGCAAACUCCCACUCGACGCUCAAGCUCGGACAGCGACCUCACGCACACACACACACACAGAUCUCUCAGAGGACAAACGCGGUCAUUAUUGGACCUACAGCAGUCGCGGAGCAGAGAGAGAAUACACUCUUGGACAGCGCUUGACUCCUUACAACACACCUUUAAACAGGAAGCUCCUGGACCCUGGUCAGCUUGACACAGCUGGACUGCCACUGAACCUCAGCUGAAGAAACACACAGACACACACAACACGUCUGGACCUGAACCCAGUAGCUGUGCAGAACCAACAAACACACACUCGCUGGUCCACCAUAGGAUGAAACCGCGGAGGCUUCUACUGCAUGCCCCCCUCCUGCCCACCAUCUCCGAGUGUUUGGAGGACGUGUCCACCCCCUGCCUCCCUCCAUCCCUGGACGAGUACGCUGCGUCCAUCAGAGCCCUGGCCCGCCCCACCUCUGCCCUGCCUGGUCCAAUCAGGUCACCCCGUGGCCAGAGGCCACACCCCCACGCCAGGGCUAGACAUCAGAGUUGCGCUCCCCAUGCUUGCCGGAUAGUGCGGCCAUGCCAUGCUCCUGUUGCCCCCAGCAAUAACAACGACAACAGCAGCAAAGACCCGCUGGACUGGUCGUUUGCACACACACCAGCGAACACACACAGGACAGUGCAAACACACACACUCACACACCGGCACUCGCAAACAGAUGUACGGCCUCGGACUCAAGGACAACGUACAGGUCACACAGACAAUUUCAUGCCUACACUCUGGAUGCUUUAAAACACAUGCGUACACACACACACACACACACACACACACACACACACACACACACACACACAAAAUAGACUUUCUUUCUGCACUAUUUAUUGUGGACUGGGAUCCCUUGUUGCUAAAUGUUUAUAAUAAAAAGAGAUGUCAUUGUCUAGCCUUUA